GAUGAACGCUAGCGGCAGGCCUAACACAUGCAAGUCGAGGGAGAAGCCCUUCGGGGCAGAAACCGGCGCACGGGUGCGUAACGCGUAUGCAACCUACCUUUCACAGGGGGAUAGCCCGAAGAAAUUUGGAUUAAUACCCCAUAAUAUUAUUGGAUGGCAUCAUUUGAUAAUUAAAAUUACGAUGGUGAAAGAUGGGCAUGCGUCCUAUUAGCUAGUUGGAGUGGUAACGGCACCCCAAGGCUACGAUAGGUAGGGGUCCUGAGAGGGAGAUCCCCCACACUGGUACUGAGACAGGGACCAGACUCCUACGGGAGGCAGCAGUGAGGAAUAUUGGUCAAUGGUCGGAAGACUGAACCAGCCAUGCCGCGUGCAGGAAGAAUGCCUUAUGGGUUGUAAACUGCUUUUAUAUGGGAAGAAUAAGGAGUACGUGUACUUUGAUGACGGUACCAUAUGAAUAAGCAUCGGCA
rnacentral:rRNA from 1 species